rnacentral:rRNA from 1 species
GAUGAACGCUGGCGGCGUGCCUAAUACAUGCAAGUCGAGCGAACAGACGAGGAGCUUGCUCCUCUGACGUUAGCGGCGGACGGGUGAGUAACACGCGGAUAACCUACCUAUAAAACUGGGAUAACUUCGGGACACCGGAGCUAAUCCCGGAUAAUCUAUUCAACCGCAUGGUUCCUUAGUGCACGACGGUUUUGCUAUCACUUAUAGCUGGAUCCGCGCAGCAUUAGCUAGUUGGUAAGGUAACGACUUACCAAGGCAACGAUGCGUAGCCGACCUGAGAGGGUGAUCGGCCACACUGGAACUGAGACACGUUCCAGACUCCUACGGGAGGCAGCAGUAGGGAAUCUUCCGCAAUGGGCGAAAGCUUGACGGAGCAACGCCGCGUGAGUGAUGAAGGUCUUCGGAUCGGAAAGCUCUGUUAUUAGGGAAGAACAAAUGUGUAAGUAACUAUGCACGUCUUGACGGUACCUAGUCAGAAAGCCACGGCUAACUACGUG